CAGACGGGUGGCAGCAGUGGGGGAUAUUGCACAAUGGGGGGAACCCUGAUGCAGCGACGCCGCGUGGGUGAAGAAGCGCCUCGGCGCGUAAAGCCCUGUCAGCAGGGAAGAAAAUGACGGUACCUGAAGAAGAAGCCCCGGCUAACUACGUGCCAGCAGCCGCGGUAAUACGUAGGGGGCAAGCGUUAUCCGGAUUUACUGGGUGUAAAGGGGGCGCAGACGGCGAUGCAAGCCAGGAGUGAAAGCCCGGGGCCCAACCCCGGGACUGCUCUUGGAACUGCGUGGCUGGAGUGCAGGAGGGGCAGGCGGAAUUCCUGGUGUAGCGGUGAAAUGCGUAGAUAUCAGGAGGAACACCGGUGGCGAAGGCGGCCUGCUGGACUGCAACUGACGUUGAGGCCCGAAAGCGUGGGGAGCAAACAGGAUUAGAUACCCGUGUAGUC
rnacentral:rRNA from 1 species